AAGAAUAUGAGGACCUAAAGGGAAUAUGAAGCCCCAUUUCACCCCCUUGUACUUCUUGUCACUUCAUAGGUAUGAGAUCUCGUGGUAGAGAAGAGUAGAAAGGAAACGGAGGUUUCUGAGCCUCUUCUGGGAUAAAGAGCAUGUGGCUGGGUGUCAAGGGCUGGGAGUCACAAUCUGAUUUCUAGUCCUGGGUCUUCCGCUCACUUAGGCAAGUCAGGCGUUCAUUCUCUGCCCUUCAGUUUCCUGUCCAAAAAGCGUUGCCAGUGAUACCCCACCUACUUAUCUCACAUACUAGAAUCAAAAAUGCUUUGAACUUUUUAAAAAGCCUUUUAUGGUUUUGAUUUAUUUUUGCCUUCCCCAUUACCCAAGCUAGGCCUUUAUAUCCCACUCUGAAGUACAGUGAGCGACAGGGCCUUAAAGCGCAUGGUUGAUGUUUCUGACUUCGUUGCUUUGUCUUUUUCUCAGGGACUGUUCAGUCUUACACUGAAUGAACGUUUCAGUAUAAAUGGUGGUUAUCUGGGUAUUCUAGAAUGGAUUCUGGGAAAGAAAGAUGUCAUGUGGAUAGGGUUCCUCACUAGA
rnacentral:lncRNA from 1 species